GGAUAAAAAAAUCCCAGCCCUCUCAAGGCUGAAACAGGGGUUCGAUUCCCCUAGGGAGCGCCA
rnacentral:tRNA from 2 species